CGUCUCAGUUCGGAUUGUAGUCUGCAACUCGACUACAUGAAGCUGGAAUCGCUAGUAAUCGCGAAUCAGAAUGUCGCGGUGAAUACGUUCCCGGGUCUUGUACACACCGCCCGUCACACCAUGGGAGUCAGUAACGCCCGAAGCCGGUGACCUAACCGAAAGGGAGGAGCCGUCGAAGGUGGGACCGAUAACUGGGGUGAAGUCGUAACAAGGUACC
rnacentral:rRNA from 1 species